rnacentral:rRNA from 1 species
UACGACUACAUAUCAGGCAUAUCAAUAAGCGGAGGAAAAGAAACUAACUAGGAUUCCCUUAGUAACGGCGAGUGAAGCGGGAAGAGCUCAAAUUUGAAAUCUUCAAGGUUCUACCUUGACGAAUUGUAGUUUAAAGAAGUGUUUUCUGUUGGAGUUUUGGUAAAAGUUCUUUGGAAUAGGACAUCAUAGAGGGUGAGAAUCCCGUAUUUGACCAUUUCUUCCAGCUGUGUGAUACACUUUCAAAGAGUCGGAUUGUUUGGGAAUGCAGUCCAAAAUGGGUGGUAAAUUUCAUCUAAAGCUAAAUAUUGGCGAGAGACCGAUAGCGAACAAGUACCGUGAGGGAAAGAUGAAAAGAACUUUGAAAAGAGAGUUAAACAGUACGUGAAAUUGUCAAAAGGGAAGCGUUUGACACCAGUGUUGUUUUCUCGAAAAUCAAUUAAAAAUGACCGGAUUUUGUGUUGUAUUGACUUUAUCAGCUUUCUGCACUUUUUUCUUGUCUUUUUUAAUGCACUUUUCGUUUAACAAGUCAACAUCAAUUUCUUUUGUUGUAAAAGGGUCAUUGGAAGGCGGCUUUCACUUCGGUGAAAGUGUUUAUAGCCUUUGACUUCUGCAAUCGGAGAGAUUGAGGUCUGCAGCGUAGAUCCUUCGGGGUUAGAUACAUUUGUGCUAAGUUAUAGUUUUUCAUAGACAACAUGUUGACUAUGAUUAAUCAUGUAGCUUACUCGCUUAUGCUAUUUUACCUACGCUUAGGAUGUUGAAUCUGUGCGAGACUAC